CUCUAGCCGCGAUUGCAACGGCAUCCUUUUGGGUUGCGGCGAAGCGAAGCGGAGCCGUAACCCAAAAGAUAUAGUGGAAAGCGGGAAAAAGC
rnacentral:sRNA from 1 species